UUCACUUCGCGCUAGAAGCCAAAAUCAUGUAGUAUCUGUUCCUAAUUGCUUAAUAUCCUAUAUGGACUCUAUCUGGACCCAAGAUAUGAAACCUAUUGUUGCAUGUUGGCGGAAUGCUUGAAGCCUGCUUCACCUCGACCGCGGGUCGGCUCGGUAUUGCACUGUCUUCGGGACGGGUCCACAAUGU